CGCAGAGGUCAAACGUGUGACCUAUAUUCAAAGUCAUUGGAGCAGCGUGUUUUGGGUUCGACUCCCAGCCAAGACUCUUCCAUCUGAGCUUUGGAUCUGUGCAGCUUCUCCAGAGUUUCCAUGGGACUCUUGGCUUCUCAGAUUAACACUCUCCUUGUCUGUUGUGUCAAUUUGGGGGCACAUUCAUGUCUUGCAAUUCCGUGUGGAUGGAGUGAAGAAGUGAGACCCUGGGAACCCGUCUUUCCACUCGUGGGAACAGAAAUAAAGUGAGAAAAUGAGCAGCUAAGGGGACUUUUAUGACGUGUGAG